rnacentral:sRNA from 1 species
CAUAAAUUAUCUUUAAAUCACACACGUACCGACACAUGAUCCGGGGUGCUCACUUACUCAAUAUUGAGAGGUAGAGUCGGACGCAUGGGGCACGUGGAGGCCUAAC